rnacentral:rRNA from 1 species
UAACCUCUUUCACCGAUGACGAAGCGCAAGUGACGGUAGUCGGAGAAGAAGCACCGGCCAACUACGUGCCAGCAGCCGCGGUAAUACGUAGGGUGCGAGCGUUGUCCGGAAUUAUUGGGCGUAAAGGGCUCGUAGGCGGUUUGUCGCGUCGGGAGUGAAAACACGGGGCUUAACUCCGUGCUUGCUUUCGAUACGGGCAGACUAGAGGUAUGCAGGGGAGAACGGAAUUCCUGGUGUAGCGGUGAAAUGCGCAGAUAUCAGGAGGAACACCGGUGGCGAAGGCGGUUCUCUGGGCAUGACCUGACGCUGAGGAGCGAAAGUGUGGGGAGCGAACAGGAUUAGAUACCCUGGUAGUCCACACCGUAAACGUUGGGCGCUAGGUGUGGGGCCUAUUCCAUGGGUUCCGUGCCGCAGCUAACGCAUUAAGCGCCCCGCCUGGGGAGUACGGCCGCAAGGCUAAAACUCAAAGGAAUUGACGGGGGCCCGCACAAGCGGCGGAGCAUGCGGAUUAAUUCGAUGCAACGCGAAGAACCUUACCUGGGUUUGACAUAUGCCGGAAAGCGCCAGAGAUGGUGCCCCUUUUUGUCGGUAUACAGGUGGUGCAUGGCUGUCGUCAGCUC